GUGGGGAAUAUUGCACAAUGGGGGAAACCCUGAUGCAGCAACGCCGCGUGAAGGAAGACGGUCUUCGGAUUGUAAACUUUUGUUCUUGGUGAAGAAGAAUGACGGUAGCCAAGGAGGAAGCCACGGCUAACUACGUGCCAGCAGCCGCGGUAAUACGUAGGUGGCAAGCGUUGUCCGGAAUUACUGGGUGUAAAGGGAGCGCAGGCGGGAAAUCAAGUUGGAUGUGAAAUGUCGGGGCUUAACCCCGGAACUGCAUCCAAAACUGAUAUUCUUGAGUGAAGUAGAGGUAGGCGGAAUUCCGAGUGUAGCGGUGAAAUGCGUAGAUAUUCGGAGGAACACCAGUGGCGAAGGCGGCCUACUGGGCUUUAACUGACGCUGAGGCUCGAAAGUGUGGGGAGCAAACAGGAUUAGAAACCCUAGUAGUCC
rnacentral:rRNA from 1 species